rnacentral:snRNA from 1 species
UCUCUCUGCAAAUCGUAUAAAUCUUUCACCUUUUACUAAAGAUUUCCAUGGAAUGAAAUAAUAGUUUAUUUUUCCUUUGCUCUUGCAGGUGGAA